AUCAGGGAUGCUCUGCUGUGAUCAGGGAUCCUUUCCUGAGAUCAGGGAUGUUCUGCUGAGAUCAGGGAUGCUCUGCUGUGAUCACAGAUCCUUUCAUGAGAUAGAGAUCCUUUCAUGAGAUCAGGGAUCCUUUCCUGAGAUCAGGGAUCAUUUCCUGUGGUCAGGGAUGCUCUUCUGUGAUCAGGGAUGCUUUCCUAUGGUCAGGGAUCCUUUCCUGAGAUCAGGGAUGCUUUCCUGUGGUCAGGGAUGCUCUGCUGUGAUCAGGAAUCCUUUCCUGAGAUCAGGGAUCAUUUCCUGUGGUCAAGGAUAAUUUCCUGUGGUCAGGGAUGCUCUUCUGUGAUCAGGGAUGCUUUCCUAUGGUCAGGGAUCCUUUCCCGAGAUCAGGAAUGCUGUGCUGUGAUCAGGGAUCCUUUCCUUGCUGCAGGUGUGGGUGACACUGCACAGAGGGAAAGGGCUUUGCAGGUGUGAUGGGUGACACUGGAAAGGCCUUUGCAGGUGUGAUGGGUGACACUGGAAAGGGCUUUGCAGAAUGCAGGUGUUUCAGGGACUGGUGUCCCUUCAGAGCAAAGGACGUGGAGAGCUGGUGGCUUGUUUUCCAAAUGGGAUAAUGACAGUGACCUGGAAGCAGUGCCUUAAUGACCUAAUGACCGGCGUGUGCAACCCACAGGAGGGUCUUUGGCAGGGAGGGAUGUGGAAGUGCUUAGAUGUGCCCUAACCAGAGAGGGCUCCCCUGCUCCCUGGAUUUUUUUCCCUUCUUUUUUUCUCCCUUACUUUUAACCUGGCAGCCCUAACAUGAUGGGAUUUUAAAAUUAAAG